rnacentral:tmRNA from 2 species
GGGGCUGAUUCUGGAUUCGACGGGAUUUGCGAAACCCAAGGUGCAUGCCGAGGGGCGGUUGGCCUCGUAAAAAGCCGCAAAAAAAUAGUCGCAAACGACGAAACCUACGCUUUAGCAGCUUAAUAACCUGCUUAGAGCCCUCUCUCCCUAGCCUCCGCUCUUAGGACGGGGAUCAAGAGAGGUCAAACCCAAAAGAGAUCGCGCGGAUGCCCUGCCUGGGGUUGAAGCGUUAAAACGAAUCAGGCUAGUCUGGUAGUGGCGUGUCCGUCCGCAGGUGCCAGGCGAAUGUAAAGACUGACUAAGCAUGUAGUACCGAGGAUGUAGGAAUUUCGGACGCGGGUUCAACUCCCGCCAGCUCCACAA